GGGUUCACCCCUCCGCCCCCCUGCCUCUCUAACUGCUUAUGGUCACUGCCGUGUCUUGGCCUCACAUGCAGCCUCUGUUCUCAUCUUUAUUGUUCUGCUGCUUUUCCUCGUCAUAGUUUUGCUUUCUUGGUCCACUCCAGCUCCCAAAAGCCGGAAAUUGGAGGAAACUAUCUGUUAGCUGGUUCUCUGGAGAGCACCAAGUUAUAAGUUUUCCUCUGUUUUGCUCCUCUUCCAUUGGGUUCGGAGCCUCUGGAUUGGUUUGCAAAGAAAACACAUCAGAGAUACAAGACAGAAAUGAGUACAGCCAAAGUGAAGCGUCGUGUUGGCAAGUUUGAGCUAGGUCGGACAAUUGGGGAAGGGACAUUUGCAAAGGUCAAAUUUGCAAGGAACUCUGAAACAGGGGAUCCUGUUGCCAUCAAGAUUCUCGAUAAGGAGAAGGUUCUCAAGAACAAACUGGUUGAGCAGAUUAAGCGGGAAAUUGCCACCAUGAAGUUAAUAAAGCAUCCUAAUGUUGUUCGCCUAUAUGAGGUCAUGGGAAGCAAAACAAAGAUAUUCCUUGUGCUUGAAUAUGUCACAGGGGGAGAGCUUUUCGACAAAAUUGUCAACCAUGGGCGAAUGAGGGAGGAUGAAGCACGAAGGUAUUUUCAACAACUAAUUAAUGCUGUUGAUUAUUGCCAUAGCAGAGGUGUAUACCACCGUGACUUAAAGCCGGAAAAUUUACUACUUGAUGCGUUUGGAAAUCUCAAAGUUUCUGAUUUUGGAUUAAGUGCACUAUCCCAACAAGUCAGGGAUGAUGGCUUGCUUCACACUACUUGUGGAACUCCAAACUAUGUUGCUCCAGAGGUCCUCAAUGAUCGAGGCUAUGAUGGGGCAACUGCAGACUUAUGGUCAUGUGGAGUCAUUCUUUUUGUAUUGCUAGCAGGGUACUUGCCUUUCGAGGAUUCUAAUCUUAUGACCUUGUAUAAGAAAAUUUCAGCUGCUGAAUUUACAUGCCCAUCUUGGCUUACCUUUGGCGCCAUGAGGCUGUUGGCAAGAAUCCUUGAUCCAAACCCGAUGACACGAAUAACUAUCCCUGAGAUACUGGAGGAUGAAUGGUUCAAGAAAGGCUAUAAGCCACCAGUCUUUGGGGAGAAGUAUGAUGCAAAUCUGGAUGAUGUGGAUGCUGCUUUCAAGGACUCAGAAGUGAGUCGAAGACGAGCUCCGGGAGCAAUUACAGAACACCAUGUAACAGAGAAGAAAGAAGACCAGCCAGCAGCUAUGAACGCAUUUGAGUUGAUUUCAAUGUCAAAGGGGCUAAAUCUUGGCAAUUUGUUUGACAUAGAACAGGAAUUCAAGAGAGAAACCAGAUUUACAUCAAAAUGUCCAGCCAAUGAAAUCAUUAGUAAGAUUGAAGAAGCUGCAAAGCCGCUGGGCUUUAAUGUUCAGAGGAAAAAUUACAAGAUGAGGCUGCAAAACAUGAAAGCUGGAAGAAAGGGGAACCUCAAUGUUGCUACUGAGGUAUUUCAAGUAGCUCCUUCUCUUCAUAUGGUUGAGGUACGGAAAGCUAAAGGAGAUACUCUGGAGUUCCACAAGUUUUAUAAGACUCUCUCCAGCAGCCUGAAGGAUGUUGUUUGGAAAUCUGAAGAGGAUAUGCAAGAUAAUGCUGCCAAAUGAUGCAGCUUGAAGAUGAGGGAGAGCUCUUUUAUCUUUUCACUAAAGAUAUUAGCUUCUGGUCCCCUGGUUUUUUUGCCCCCCGGAGCAGCCUGUCAGCAUCUAGUCCUCAUACCGGCUGGUGCGUGAUUCCCUGCUGCAUUUUUUUUCCCUUACUUUCUGUUAUGACUGUACCAUUGUAAAUGUUGAGUCAAACUUGUUUGAUUGUUUUAUUUUUGUUUUUUCUGUAUUAUUGUUGGAGAGAACAAAACAGGAAUGAGUUUCAUGGACUUUGUACAGUACUGUUGAUCCUAUAUAUAAAGAGCUCUUUUCCGGCACUGGUUCUGCAAAUGAAGAUUAAUCAGGAAAAAGAUACAGAAGGUUUGUUGGUAGUGAAAUGUGAUUGUGAACACUGAGCCGAUACCUCACUCGGUUCCUUAGUAGUGUCUCGCUUGGAUUAUUUAGACCUAAGUGGCCAUGCUGCCAGGACCAAGUGUGAAAAUAGGAAGGAAAAUAAUUUGUAACACCCUGUAGAUUUUCUGGAUGGUACCUGUUAAAGCCUGAUUUGUAUUGUUGACCCCUUUUCUAUUUUUUUAAAUAUUAGAAUUAAUUGGUUAAUUAAUUUGUUAUCAGAGCU